GGAAACGGAGAACAAAUCCCGAUGUACAGGAAGGAGGCAUCUUUUUUCUGUGAAACAUCCUUUAGGGGAUGGGGCGCGGAUGGACCUGCGGUGCAUUAGUUGGUUGGCGGGAUAAAGGCCCACCAAGACGAUGAUGCAUAGCCGGCCUGAGAGGGCGGACGGCCACAUUGGGACUGAGACACGGCCCAGACUCCUGCGGGAGGCAGCAGUAGGGAAUUUUCGUCAAUGGGCGCAAGCCUGAACGAGCGAUGCCGCGUGAGUGAAGAAGGCCUUCGGGUCGUAAAGCUCUGUUGCGGGGGAAAAAAGGCAGCAUCAGGAAAUGGGUGCUGACUGAUGGUGCCCCGCCAGAAAGUCACGGCUAACUACGUGCCAGCAGCCGCGGUAAUACGUAGGUGGCGAGCGUUAUCCGGAAUGAUUGGGCGUAAAGGGUGCGCAGGCGGUCCUGCAAGUCUGGAGUGAAACGCAUGAGCUCAACUCAUGCAUGGCUUUGGAAACUGGAGGACUGGAGAGCAGGAGAGGGCGGUGGAACUCCAUGUGUAGCGGUAAAAUGCGUAGAUAUAUGGAAGAACACCAGUGGCGAAGGCGGCCGCCUGGCCUGUUGCUGACGCUGAGGCACGAAAGCGUGGGGAGCAAAUAGGAUUAGAUACCCUAGUAGUCCACGCCGUAAACGAUAAGGACCAAGUGUUGGGG
rnacentral:rRNA from 1 species